rnacentral:rRNA from 1 species
CUACGGGUUGCUCCAGUGAGGAAUAUUGCACAAUGGGGGGAACCCUGAUGCAGCAACGCCGCGUGGAGGAUGACGCAUUUCGGUGUGUAAACUCCUUUUAUAUGUCAAGAAAAUGACGGUAGCAUAUGAAUAAGCACCGGCUAACUCCGUGCCAGCAGCCGCGGUAAUACGGAGGGUGCAAGCGUUACUCGGAAUCACUGGGCGUAAAGGACGCGUAGGCGGGUUGGAAAGUCAGGUGUGAAAUCCUACAGCUUAACUGUAGAACUGCACUUGAAACUUCUAAUCUAGAGUAUGGGAGGGGGAGAUGGAAUUAGUGGUGUAGGGGUAAAAUCCGUAGAUAUCACUAGGAAUACCUAAAGCGAAGGCGAUCUCCUGGAACAUUACUGACGCUAAGGCGUGAAAGCGUGGGGAGCAAACAGGAUUAGAUACCCCCGUAGUC